rnacentral:rRNA from 1 species
AUACGGAGGGUGCAAGCGUUAUCCGGAAUCACUGGGUUUAAAGGGUGCGUAGGCGGCCAUAUUAGUCAGUAGUGAAAGGUUGCAGCUUAACUGUAAGACUGCUAUUGAAACUGUAUGGCUUGAAUUAGGAUGAGGUAGGCGGAAUGUGACAUGUAGCGGUGAAAUGCUUAGAUAUGUCAUAGAACACCGAUUGCGUAGGCAGCUUACUAGACCUAUAUUGACGCUGAGGCACGAAAGCGUGGGGAGCGAACAGGAUUAGAAACCCGUGUAGUCC